UUUUGUCACCAUAAUCAUACACCCUUUCCCAGACAAAGUUCCAAGAGCAUCAGCCACCAAGGGCAGAACCUUUCCAAAACGCUUUGAUGACCUGUGCGGUUCCAGGAAGGUGGGGCCGCGUUGCACAGAGGCGGCAACAUCACCAUUUCUGUGAAUUUCAGUUGCUUCGUAUUUCACUGGGGGAUAGCAUUUGUUUUGCUAAAGAUUCGCUGCUGCGAGAAUUUCGGGGGAGAGCCACUGGCGGCCGAGUGGACACCAAGCCCAGGGAAGAUUGGGGCGGCAACCGAGCGAGCAGGACCCGUGGUUCAGAGGGAUGCGGCCGGCUCGUGUCCGCGCAUCCCCGCGGGUGGUGCUGCGGGGACAGCGCUUCGUGGGCCAGCCCCACAAGCCGCCACCUCCCCCGGGGACCAGAGCGGGAUGAGGGGAUGCUGCUGAUGAUGAUGGUGCUGCUGCUGCGCUCCGAAGGGUUAAAAGCCGUCGAGCCCCGUGCGUGGGAGCGGUCUGGGCAGUGUGGGGAGAAAUGCAGAAAAAAUUGGAGUAACUGUUUUCCAGUUCUAGUGAGUAGCCCUGGUUUCUUGAGGAAGCAAGGCAUCAGGAAAUUACACUAAUAUUGAAUCACUGUUCUGUACACACCAUCGUUCUGUACAGAUGUUUUCCACGGUGAGGAAGUUGUUGUUAGCAUCAGAACAGCAAUUGAAGCCGGUGGACAGUAUCUUGUGACUGCAAGAAAGACCUCAGGACUUCUGACUUCCAUUGAGUUCCUGCACAAGCGGGACACAGAAUCCAGGAGCCAGGAGCCACUGACAUUUUUAUAUCAGGAAGAGCAGCAUUUAAAAGAUCACUCCCAUUUCACUGGGGAAAUUUUGAGUUGCUGGCUAGCCCCUUUGGACACCCUUACUGUCACUGAAGAAAUGCAGGUACCACGAAGGGAUGAUUAAGGCCACCCAAGAAUCCAAAAGUGUGUCAAACAGUUAACACUGAGUCUUGUGUAAUAACCUACAAUUAGCAUGCAAUGCCCAAGGCAUUUGCCCCCACUGACAACGUGGUUUAAUCCAGCAGUAAAGUAGGCUAAAAUGAUUAUUAUAGCUAAUAGUAUUUUUAACAGAAGUGAAACUGUAGAAAAGAGGCUACACAAAUACAUUGAUUUCAGCCCUGCCUCCCUGACAAGUCUGUAUGGAUUUUGUUAUUUGUGGUUCAUUUUUUCAAAAAGAACCCAGGGCCUGCAAAUGUAGAAAUCCCUGGCUGUAUGAAAUGGUUGUGCAUCAGAAUGAGGGAUUUGCAUGUUCAACUGCCCAUAUUUGUAUCCUUCUAUCCAGUUUGCAUAUGCAAAGAUUGUUAUAUUUAUCAGUGCAUAAAUAAAAGGAGGAGAGAUAAAUGACCUGGUUUGCAGAGGUGCUGAGCACAUGCAGUUUCCAUUUAUUUCAACUGGAGUGUGAAAAACAGGCCCUAAGUGACUGGCUCAGGCUCACACAAUGCAUGAUUGUCAGUGCCAGGAAGAAAACCCAGAAAUCCUUCCAGUCUAAUCCUGCAGUUUAAAUCCUCCCCAGUCUAAACUCUAGACACAGUCUCUCCAAGAAAUAAAAAGGAAAAAAAGAAAAAAAAAUAAAUCUGUGCAGUAGCCUGACCACACUCUUAUUCCUACCUUAAUUUUCUAAGAGAAUAAAAAAAAUGGGACAUGAAAAACUCCUGCAUAAUAUUUAAUGACUAGCAAAUAAUGCCAAGUAGGGCAACUAAAUAUGUGUGAAGCAUUGCUCACACACCCAUCAACUUGCAUGUGUGUCACAGAUGGUUUUAGUGAAGAGCCAAAAAGAGAAGGAGAGAAAGGAAAAGGAAAGCAAGGCCAGAUAAAGAGUAAGCUAGAAAGAGAGACAAAGACAUUUUCUGCUGUUAAAAAAGAAAAAAAAAAAAUCCCUUAAAAAUACUACAAAAACUAAUGAUAAAAAAACCCAGAACCAUUCCAUCUCCUUGAUAACGUGUAGGCUAAUCUCUACAUAAAUAGAAAUAACAACCCUUUGAAAUGGCAAUGAUUUGCUUGGAAAACAUUCAUUAAAAACGUCCUGCAAUUAUUGACUCUAUCAUUAU